UACGUAGGGGGCAAGCGUUGUCCGGAAUCAUUGGGCGUAAAGAGCGUGUAGGCGGCUCGGUAAGUCCGCUGUGAAAGUCCAGGGCUCAACCCUGGAAUGCCGGUGGAAACUGUCGAGCUAGAGUCCGGAAGAGGCGAGUGGAAUUCCUGGUGUAGCGGUGAAAUGCGCAGAUAUCAGGAAGAACACCAGUGGCGAAGGCGGCUCACUGGAUCGGUACUGACGCUGAGGUGCGAAAGCGUGGGAGCGAACAGG
rnacentral:rRNA from 1 species